ensembl:lncRNA
CCUCAGUGCAAGACACGCACCCCACGCUGGGGAGGCUGCACAGCACCCAGCCUUGCUGGUCCCGAACUUGCCCAGCCAGCUGAACUUGUUUCCAAAGGAUAAGAUAAUAUCUGGUGAAGAAUAUUUCAAAUGCCGGGGUAGGAAUAGCAUUUGCUGAUUAAGACAGCAAUAUUGGGACUAAAAAUGUGUGAAACCUAAACAGCCUCAAAGAUGUCCACCCUUCUCACCUCUCCCUAAAAAGUCUGUUAUCGUCACUGCCAUGAGAACACAUCCCAUUGCUGCCUCCCAAAGUGAGAGCUGUCCUUCAUUACUUGCACAGCCACGUGACAACCUAGACGUGGCCCAAGGACCCAAGCUGGACCCUCGACCCUGGCCCCCAGCCCCCGCCCAGGGACAUGGUUGAGGGGUGGGCAGGAAACCCAGGCUGGGCAGCAAGACCCGCUCCAGCACUUUUGGGACCAGAAUGAAGGGAGUCAAGCCCACCCCCAUGAAAAUAUGGAGGAAUGGUUGCUUCUCUAGCAAGACAGGAAUUAUCAAAAUCAAUCCUAGAAGAACUGGAAGAUUUGAAUAGUCUAACUUCAUUGGAAGAAAUCAGAAAUAUUUAUCUUUGGAAAAAUUCAGCCCAACUGAAUUUUAUUUACUUUUCAAAUAGAUAUUUCGAUCUCAUGUAAACUUUUCUAGGCCACAGAAAAAGGUGGAAAGCCUCCUUUACGAAAACAUAACUUUCAUAAAGAUGGCAUAUAAAAAUGUGCUACUUUAUGUAUGCCUAUAGAUACAUUCUAGAUAAAACGUUAGCAAAAAGACGCUACCAAUGAAUCAAACAUUGUGCCAGUGUAGCCAGUCAUCAUACACUACCACCAAGCAGGGUCUGCUCGGCAGUGCAAGGAUGGUUCAAGAGCGGGGCAUCUAUCAACAUCAAGAAGAAAAAGUUAGGGCUGGCCCCAUAGCCGGGUGGUUAAGUUCAUGCGCUCCACUUCAGCAGCCCAGGGUUUCACAGGUUCCAAUUCUGGGGGUGGACCUAGCACGGCUCAUCAAGCCCUGCUGAGGCAGUGUCCCACAUAGCAGAGCCAGAAGGACCUACAACUAGAAUAUACAACUAUGUACUGGACGGCUUCAGGGAGAAGAAGAAAAAAAGAGAGAGAGAAAAUAUUGGCAACAGAUGUUAGCUCAGAUGCCAAUCUUCAAAAAAAAAAAAAAGAAAAGAAAGAAGAAAAAUUAGUGAAGGAACAAAGAUGCAGAGAACCCAGGCUGAGCGAUCAGAGUACAAAAGCCCCCUUAAUGGGUCUGCUUCUGGGAGCCCCGAGGGAAUCCAGAGAGAGGGUGCAGCCUGAGCCAGGGGUGAAGAGGUGAGAGAGUGCUGGGAGGUUGGGGACCUCCGCAUGGGCCUUGCCAAGGCCGCUCCGUGAAGGCACGUGAGAUGCAAGGUCAGUCCUGGGUCCAGAGGGACCGACCGGGAAGAGUCUGGGCAACAAAGAGCAUCGUGUCGUCGGAGGGACCGACCGAAAGGCAGGGAAGGGGUUUGCUCUCAGUUAUGACAGUUUGACUGCUAGUCACGGACGCUCGACUCAACUUGCAGAUGCAGACAGGGAAUUCGUAGAAGGGUGACCGUGGGGGGCCCGAGCGCAGGCCAGGAGCAGCUGAUCGCAGAUGGUGGCAGGGGGUGGCUACAUAGCCUGAUCGUGGUCAACCAGUCCCCUGACCAGGCUCUGGUUUGGGCUCCUGAUCCUUCACCUGCCUGCUUACCUGUCACAGGUAAGGACCGUGCACUGCGUCUGGGGAAGCCCCCUGUCCCCGGGCCCGCCUCAUCGACGCUGUGUCGGUGUGAGCAGGGCUCUCCGGGCCCAGGGGAGCAGAAAGGAAGAGGUGCCAGAGGGCAGGAUCCCAGAGCUGGUGGGUGAGGAUCUUGAGUCUGUACGCCGCCCGCCCUCCCCUGAGUCUUCAGGCCUCGAAGGACUGGGGCAGGUGGCUCUCCCUGGAGGCAAACUGGGGGCAGCGGUCAGGGAAAUCGAUGCAUCUAUACCCACAGCUGAAUCUGUAUCUGCCUCUGUGUCUAUACAGAUACAGACACAAAGACACACAGAGAGAGACAGAGGGAAUUAUUUUAAAAACUGGCUUGUGCAAUAGUGGAUGCUGGCAAGUCCAAACUCUGCAGGCUGGAGACCCAGGAAGGGUGAUGCUGCGGCUCGAGUCCGAAGACAGUCUGGGGGCAGAACUCCUUCCUCCUGUUUCCGCUUCCGGCUGAUCGCGUGAGGUCCACCCGCAUCAGGGAGGGCAACCUGCUUUACUCAAAAUCCACUGGUUUAAGGUUAAUCUCAUCUGAAAAAUAUCUUCACGGCGACAACACCUUGCCAAUCCUUAAAAAUUAAGUUUUCAAGAAAUUAUGAGGCCAGCGAAAUAUCCCCCUUUCCAAAAAGUGAACCACCUCAUCUUAUGUCACACAACACAGGGGAUUUCUACCAUUUAUGUGCGUGUUUGUUAUUACAUUUCAAAAAUGUAAAGUUUCCUUCUGAAUGACAUCAUUGGGGUGAGGGAACGGACCACUAAAGGUGGUCAUCUCACUGGAAAUAUUGGUAUAUUUUCCUUUUGCUUGCUUGCAUGAUGCUGAAGAAUCUGACAGCAAACCACAGACACCAUGCCGCUCCUCCCCGAAAUAUCUCUGUGUGCCUCUCUAAAAACACAAGCAUUUCCUCACAACCAAACAACAUCAUCGCGCUUCACAAGAUCAAGACGAAUUCUUUCAUGAUGUCUAAUUCCAGUUCAUGCUCCGAUUUCCCAAACUGCCCGAGAACACGGUCUACGGCCGGCUUCUCCUGCAGCGGAUUCAACCCUGGGACCACAGUCCCUGGAGCACGAGGCUUCUCCACGACGCUGACAAGCUGGAGGGGCCGGUGGUCCUGCAGGCCGCCCCCCGCGCUUGGGGUUCGCCUGCUCACUGGCUUUGCAAUUCCCUCUCACUCCUGCAGCUGGAGUUUGAUCUGAAGGCCUGUUAGAUUCAAGUUAACUAUUUUUGGGCAAGAGGGCCCUGCAGCCGAUGCCAGUUCGCCGAACUGAUCACAGACGGAGACACGAGAUCCAGCUGUCGCCCUGUAAGUGGGGCCAAGACCGACUUCAGGGUCACAGUUCCAGCCACGAUUUCAGAGGAGCGCAUUGAAAUUGGCUGCAUGACUUACAGCAACAAAAAAACCCUGGGUGCCUUCCCUUGCAAAGAAAAACUCACAAAAUCAAAGAACUAGCCGUUCGAAGCUGCAGCAAGGAGGGUCAGUAAGCCUCGUAAACGGCCCAUUUCCCAGCCUCUCCUGAAGAGAGUCGGCUGGGGUUUCACCCGAGAGGAUCAGCAGGAAAUCUCGGUCAUGGUACCUAAAUGUUACCGAGUGGACGCUGAGAAACCUUCCCGCCGGCCUGCGCUCCCCCUCUCACCUCCACCCUGCUGACCACCUUGGCUGGGGUCCCCCCUCACUGCUGGGGGUUCCAGACCUGAAGCCGCUGUUCCUGGUGAGUUCCCACCAGCCUGCUCCCCGCGCGGGGUGGUGCCAGCCAUUGGUCAAGAAACGCGAGAGCCAGCAUCGAAACGGCGAGACAGGCAUGCGGGAAAGCUGGCCUGGGCCCCGCUGUCAUCUCCACCCUCGUGAGCCUCAUUGCUGUCACCUCCCAGCUUGGAGCGGGUUGCGCAACCCCCAGGCGGGCUCUGCUGCUGGCUGAGCCUCAUUUUCCCCGCGGGUGAGCAGGUGGGACACACGGGCUCGGGUGCUGGAGCUCCUUCUAUCCACCGAGGCCGCCCCGUUCCCGGCAGUGUCCCCAACACUGCCCUCUACCGCCUCAUGGGACCCCCAUAUCCACACCCACUGAUGGUCCCAUCCUUGUGCCCCCAUGAGGAAACUGAGGCACAGAGUUGGACCCACACCCUCAGAGUGUGGGCCUGGUGAAAGCUCUUUUCACUGAAAUAUGUUUAGAACAAGAGGGCCUUUUCCUGUCGGGACAAAACGUGAAGGACCUGGCACUGAGUUGCUGGGCCAUGACCAGCUGGCAGGCAACACCCACCAUUUCUCUAAGCCACUGCUCACUCCCCUCACUUCCC